UACGGGGGGGGCAAGCGUUGUUCGGAAUUACUGGGCGUAAAGGCUCGUAGGCGGCCAACUAAGUCAGACGUGAAAUCCCUCGGCUUAACCGGGGAACUGCGUCUGAUACUGGAUGGCUUGAGGUUGGGAGAGGGAUGCGGAAUUCCAGGUGUAGCGGUGAAAUGCGUAGAUAUCUGGAGGAACACCGGUGGCGAAGGCGGCAUCCUGGACCAAUUCUGACGCUGAGGAGCGAAAGCCAGGGGAGCAAACGGG
rnacentral:rRNA from 1 species